rnacentral:rRNA from 1 species
UACUCGUGCUUGCACAGAAUGAUUAGUGGCGAACGGGUGAGUAACACGUGAGUAACCUGCCCUUAACUUCGGGAUAAGCCUGGGAAACCGGGUCUAAUACCGGAUACGACCUCCUGGCGCAUGCCAUGGUGGUGGAAAGCUUUAGCGGUUUUGGAUGGACUCGCGGCCUAUCAGCUUGUUGGUUGGGGUAAUGGCCCACCAAGGCGACGACGGGUAGCCGGCCUGAGAGGGUGACCGGCCACACUGGGACUGAGACACGGCCCAGACUCCUACGGGAGGCAGCAGUGGGGAAUAUUGCACAAUGGGCGAAAGCCUGAUGCAGCGACGCCGCGUGAGGGAUGACGGCCUUCGGGUUGUAAACCUCUUUCAGCAGGGAAGAAGCGAAAGUGACGGUACCUGCAGAAGAAGCGCCGGCUAACUACGUGCCAGCAGCCGCGGUAAUACGUAGGGCGCAAGCGUUAUCCGGAAUUAUUGGGCGUAAAGAGCUCGUAGGCGGUUUGUCGCGUCUGCUGUGAAAGCCCGGGGCUCAACCCCGGGUCUGCAGUGGGUACGGGCAGACUAGAGUGCAGUAGGGGAGACUGGAAUUCCUGGUGUAGCGGUGAAAUGCGCAGAUAUCAGGAGGAACACCGAUGGCGAAGGCAGGUCUCUGGGCUGUAACUGACGCUGAGGAGCGAAAGCAUGGGGAGCGAAACAGGAUUAGAUACGCCC